rnacentral:rRNA from 1 species
UGAGGAAUAUUGGUCAAUGGGCGAGAGCCUGAACCAGCCAAAUCGCGUGAAGGAAGAAGGUUCUAUGGAUUGUAAACUUCUUUUGUAAGGGAAUAAAGUGCAGGACGUGUCCUGUUUUGUAUGUACCUUACGAAUAAGGAUCGGCUAACUCCGUGCCAGCAGCCGCGGUAAUACGGAGGAUCCAAGCGUUAUCCGGAUUUAUUGGGUUUAAAGGGUGCGUAGGCGGUUUAUUAAGUCAGUGGUGAAAUCUCAUAGCUCAACUAUGAAAUUGCCAUCGAAACUGGUAAACUUGAGUGUAAAUGAGGUAGGCGGAAUGUGACGUGUAGCGGUGAAAUGCUUAGAUAUGUCACAGAACACCAAUUGCGAAGGCAGCUUACUGGGAUACAACUGACGCUGAGGCACGAAAGCGUGGGGAUCAAACA